rnacentral:rRNA from 1 species
CAGCACCUCAAGUGGUCAGGAUGAUUAUUGGGCCUAAAGCAUCCGUAGCCGGCUCUGUAAGUUUUCGGUUAAAUCUGUACGCUCAACGUACAGGCUGCCGGGAAUACUGCAGCGCUAGGGAGUGGGAGAGGUAGACGGUACUCGGUAGGAAGGGGUAAAAUCCUUUGAUCUAUUGAUGACCACCUGUGGCGAAGGCGGUCUACCAGAACACGUCCGACGGUGAGGGAUGAAAGCUGGGGGAGAAAACCGGAUUAGAUACCCGAGUAGUCC